GUUUUAAAGAUAUUUCAGUCUAAAUGUCAACAUGUAGGUUAUCCUUCAGGUUGUUUUUAUUACCUAAUCCAGUAAGACAUUUAAUUCUCUUUGUUCAAAAUCUAUAACCACUUUGUUUCCUGUCAUUGAAGUAUCUGAUAUCACAUAUUUACAUGUAUUACUCACUUAAAAGAUCAUUCAAUAUAAAAGUGCUAUUGUCAACAAGUAACAGCAUCAUAUAUGAUCUUUCUUUUACUCAGAUCUUCUAAUCUUUUGUUUCUGUGAAGUAUCUGAUUCUUUAUAUUUACGUAAUACAAAACACCAUUCAUUCUUUAUACUGUUCAUUUCUUUAUAAUGUUAACAUGUAUACUUACUACUGUUUACUAUUUCAAUAAAGAGACCACAUCUGCA